rnacentral:rRNA from 1 species
GACGAACGCUGGCGGCGUGCUUAACACAUGCAAGUCGAACGGAAAGGCCCUGCUUUUGUGGGGUGCUCGAGUGGCGAACGGGUGAGUAACACGUGAGUAACCUGCCCUUGACUUUGGGAUAACUUCAGGAAACUGGGGCUAAUACCGGAUAGGAGCUCCUGCUGCAUGGUGGGGGUUGGAAAGUUUCGGCGGUUGGGGAUGGACUCGCGGCUUAUCAGCUUGUUGGUGGGGUAGUGGCUUACCAAGGCUUUGACGGGUAGCCGGCCUGAGAGGGUGACCGGCCACAUUGGGACUGAGAUACGGCCCAGACUCCUACGGGAGGCAGCAGUGGGGAAUAUUGCACAAUGGGCGGAAGCCUGAUGCGGCAACGCCGCGUGCGGGAUGAAGGCCUUCGGGUUGUAAACCGCUUUCGCCUGUGACGAAGCGUGAGUGACGGUAAUGGGUAAAGAAGCACCGGCUAACUACGUG